rnacentral:rRNA from 1 species
ACGGAGGAUCCGAGCGUUAUCCGGAUUUAUUGGGUUUAAAGGGUGCGUAGGCGGGGAGUCAAGUCAGCUGUGAAAAUCCGGUGCCCAACAUCGGCAGUGCAGUUGAAACUGGCUUUCUUGAGAGUGCGUGAGGCAGGCGGAAUUCAUGGUGUAGCGGUGAAAUGCAUAGAUAUCAUGAAGAACUCCGAUAGCGAAAGCAGCUUGCCCUUUCACAUCUGACGCUGAGGCACGAAAGUGCGGGUAUCAAACAG